AAAUGUCAGUCUCCAAAUUUCUAAUGAUGUUCCUCGCUUUUUUAGAUAAUCCAUAGAAAUUAGUUAAAUAAAAACAUAACUGAUUACAUUAAUGGAUCCUCAGAAUAGUUAGAAUAUCAUAAUUACUAAGAUCACAUUCUUUAAGUGCUUAAGAACAAUAAAUACCAUGCAUUCAAAGGUGGAUAACAGUAACCUCUUACCAUUAACUUAGAACUGUUUGCAAUUUUGGCAUAAAGUUAUAUGGAACUCAUAAUAACCAUGCAAGUAAGGCUUUCCUAUCUCAGGCUACUCUUCCAAAACAAAUCCCACCACAAAGAAAACAUUUGUAAGAUUAGACUCUCACAAAGGCCCACA
rnacentral:lncRNA from 1 species